GAUGAACGCUGACAGAAUGCUUAACACAUGCAAGUCAACUUGAACUUCGGUUUGGGUGGCGGACGGGUGAGUAACGCGUAAAGAACUUGCCUCACAGAUAGGGACAACAUUUGGAAACGAAUGCUAAUACCUGAUAUUAUGAUUUUAGGGCAUCCUAGGAUUAUGAAAGCUAUAUGCGCUGUGAGAGAGCUUUGCGUCCCAUUAGCUAGUUGGAGAGGUAACGGCUCACCAAGGCGAUGAUGGGUAGCCGGCCUGAGAGGGUGAUCGGCCACAAGGGGGCUGAGACACGGCCCUUACUCCUACGGGAGGCAGCAGUGGGGAAUAUUGGACAAUGGACCAAGAGUCUGAUCCAGCAAUUCUGUGUGCACGAUGAAGUUUUUCGGAAUGUAAAGUGCUUUCAGUUGGGAAGAAAAAAAUGACGGUACCAACAGAAGAAGUGACGGCUAAAUACGUG
rnacentral:rRNA from 1 species